rnacentral:rRNA from 1 species
UACGUAGGGUGCAAGCGUUAAUCGGAAUUACUGGGCGUAAAGUGUGCGCAGGCGGCCGCGCAAGUCGAGUGUGAAAGCCCCGAGCUUAACUUGGGAACUGCGCUCGAAACUACGUGGCUGGAGUGUGGCAGAGGCAGGCGGAAUUCCGGGUGUAGCGGUGGAAUGCGUAGAGAUCCGGAAGAACACCGGUGGCGAAGGCGGCCUGCUGGGACAUGGCUGACGCUGAGGCGCGACAGCGUGGGGAGCAAACAGG